rnacentral:rRNA from 1 species
UACAGAGGUCUCAAGCGUUGUUCGGAUUCAUUGGGCGUAAAGGGUGUGUAGGUGGCGCCGUAAGUCGGGUGUGAAAUUUCGGAGCUUAACUCCGAAACUGCAUUCCAUACUGCGGUGCUUGAGGACUGGAGAGGAGACUGGAAUUUACGGUGUAGCAGUGAAAUGCGUAGAGAUCGUAAGGAAGACCAGUGGCGAAGGCGGGUCUCUGGACAGUUCCUGACACUGAGGCACGAAGGCCAGGGGAGCAAACGGGG